rnacentral:rRNA from 1 species
UACAAGUGACCCCGGUCUAACCACCGGGAUGUUCAUAACCCUUUGUUGUCCGACUCUGUUGCCUCCGGGGCGACCCUGCCUUCGGGCGGGGGCUCCGGGUGGACACUUCAAACUCUUGCGUAACUUUGCAGUCUGAGUAAACUUAAUUAAUAAAUUAAAACUUUUAACAACGGAUCUCUUGGUUCUGGCAUCGAUGAAGAACGCAGCGAAAUGCGAUAAGUAAUGUGAAUUGCAGAAUUCAGUGAAUCAUCGAAUCUUUGAACGCACAUUGCGCCCCCUGGUAUUCCGGGGGGCAUGCCUGUUCGAGCGUCAUUUCACCACUCAAGCCUCGCUUGGUAUUGGGCAACGCGGUCCGCCGCGUGCCUCAAAUCGACCGGCUGGGUCUUCUGUCCCCUAAGCGUUGUGGAAACUAUUCGCUAAAGGGUGCUCGGGAGGCUACGCCGUAAAACAAACCCAUUUCUAAGGUUGACCUCGGAUCAGGUAGG